rnacentral:lncRNA from 1 species
GAAAGUGAGCCUUCCAAGUGAAAUAGUUGACUCGGUCUAGCCGGAUCGCUCAGAUGCUUGAUCUUUAUUGCAGAUUCUUAGUAGUCCACAUCAAUACAUCAUACUAUCGUCGCAUGCAAGAACCAAGGAGAAAAAAAGCUUACUCAAUCUGUUUUAGGCUCUGAUACCAUAUUACAAAUUUACUCUUUUCUUUUAUUGUGUACUAUUUAGAUGGGUUCUGGAAAAACAUAUAUAAUAUGAUUAUGUGAACCGAUUGUACUGGACAAAAUGAUGGAUUC